rnacentral:rRNA from 1 species
UACGAAGGGGGCUAGCGUUGUUCGGAAUUACUGGGCGUAAAGCGCGCGCAGGCGGUCUUCCAAGUCAGUGGUGAAAGCCCGGAGCUCAACUCCGGAACUGCCUUUGAUACUGAGGAUCUUGAGUUCGGGAGAGGUGAGUGGAACUGCGAGUGUAGAGGUGAAAUUCGUAGAUAUUCGCAAGAACACCAGUGGCGAAGGCGGCUCACUGGCCCGAUACUGACGCUGAGGCACGAAAGCGUGGGGAGCAAACAGG